UGGAGUCAGCCACACAAGUUAAACUCUAGAUUAAAUUCCUCCCGCGGUUAGCCUGACCCGUGCCCGGGACUCAGUGGAGUCAGCCACGCAAGUUAAACUCUAGAUUAAAUUCCUCCCGCGGUUAGCCUGACCCGUGCCCGGGACUCAGUGGGGACAGCCACACAAGUUAGACUCUAGAUUAAAUUCCUCCCGCGGUUAGCCUGACCCGUGCCCGGGACUCAGUGGGGACAGCCACACAAGUUAAACUCUAGAUUAAAUUCCUCCCGCGGUUAGCCUGACCUGUGCCCGGGACUCAGUGGGGACAGCCACGCAAGUUAAACUCUAGAUUAAAUUCCUCCCGCGGUUAGCCUGACCCGUGCCCGGGACUCAGUGGAGUCAGCCACACAAGUUAAACUCUAGAUUAAAUUCCUCCCGCGGUUAGCCUGACCCGUGCCCGGGACUCAGUGGGGACAGCCACGCAAGUUAAACUCUAGAUUAAAUUCCUCCCGCGGUUAGCCUGACCCGUGCCCGGGACUCAGUGGGGACAGCCACACAAGUUAAACUCUAGAUUAAAUUCCUCCCGCGGUUAGCCUGACCCGUGCCCGGGACUCAGUGGAGUCAGCCACGCAAGUUAGACUCUAGAUUAAAUUCCUCCCGCGGUUAGCCUGACCCGUGCCCGGGACUCAGUGGAGUCAGCCACACAAGUUAGACUCUAGAUUAAAUUCCUCCCGCGGUUAGCCUGACCCGUGCCCGGGACUCAGUGGGGACAGCCACACAAGUUAGACUCUAGAUUAAAUUCCUCCCGCGGUUAGCCUGACCCGUGCCCGGGACUCAGUGGAGUCAGCCACGCAAGUUAGACUCUAGAUUAAAUUCCUCCCGCGGUUAGCCU
rnacentral:lncRNA from 10 species